CAACCUGCCGUCUGCUCUUGGACAGCCUUCUGAAAGGAAGAUUAAUACAAGAUGGCAUCAUGAGUCCGCAUGUUCACAUGAUUAAAGGUAUUCCGGUAGACGAUGGGGAUGCGUUCCAUUAGAUAGUAGGCGGGGUAACGGCCCACCUAGUCUUCGAUGGAUAGGGGUUCUGAGAGGAAGGUCCCCCACAUUGGAACUGAGACGCGGUUCAAACUCCUACGGGAGGCAGCAGUGAGGAAUAUUGGUCAAUGGGCGAGAGCCUGAACCAGCCAAGUAGCGUGAAGGAUGACUGCCCUAUGGGUUGUAAACUUCUUUUAUAAAGGAAUAAAGUCGGGUAUGCAUACCCGUUUGCAUGUACUUUAUGAAUAAGGAUCGGCUAACUCCGUGCCAGCAGCCGCGGUAAUACGGAGGAUCCGAGCGUUAUCCGGAUUUAUUGGGUUUAAAGGGAGCGUAGAUGGAUGUUUAAGUCAGUUGUGAAAGUUUGUGGCUCAACCGUAAAAUUGCAGUUGAUACUGGAUAUCUUGAGUGCAGUUGAGGCAGGCGGAAUUCGUGGUGUAGCGGUGAAAUGCUUAGAUAUCACGAAGAACUCCGAUUG
rnacentral:rRNA from 1 species